UACAGGUCCCAGAUAAUAAUUAGGAAAACAAAUCAGGACCGAAACUCCAGAGAGUCAGAAAAGGAUAAGGGACCGAUGGCUGAAAGCUUGGGAAUCCUUGCAUCAUCCACAACUGGCUUACGACAAGAAAUCAAACAAGCGCAGUUUAAUAUGUCUUCCCAGUCAAUUCACAGAUAUUGCUGAGUGGAUGGGGUUGAGUCUGAAAUUGGCUGACCAUGGAACACCUAACCCGAAAAUAUGCAUAUCCCUUUCAGAGGGCAAAGAGGAGGAAGCAAGAACACAGAGGCACACAGGGAAGACCAGGUGAAGGCACAAGGAGAAGAUGAGCAUCUUCAAGCCAAGACAAGAGAUCUCAGAAGAAAACUGCCCUGCCAACUCCUUGAUCUCAGAUUUACAAUGCCCAGAGCUGGGAGAAAAUAAAUUUCUGUUGGGCACUUUUGAAGUGGCCUCCGAUGCGAAGGUGAGAUCAGAAAUACGCCUGUGGAACCCUCUACAUGCGGAUCUGGCAAGCAUUCAACACAAACGCAAUUAGAGGGCUUACCCUUGCAUGAAAUAUUUGCUUUCCUGAUAGUCACUAACUUUAAACUUUAGGAAUGCCAGGGCAUAGUGUUUCUGUAUCAGAAC
rnacentral:lncRNA from 10 species